GAUGAAGAACGCAGCGAAAUGCGAUAACUAAUGUGAAUUGCAGAAUUCCGUGAAUCAUCGAGUCUUUGAACGCACAUUGCGCCCCCUGGUAUUCCGGGGGGCAUGCCUGUCCGAGCGUCAUUGCUGCCCAUCAAGCACGGCUUGUGUGUUGGGUCCUCGUCCCCCCCGGGGGACGUGCCCGAAAGGCAGCGGCGGCACCGCGUCCGGUCCUCGAGCGUAUGGGGCUUUGUCACCGGCUCUGCAGGCCCGGCCGGCGCUGGCCGACGCGAAAGCAACCAUUUUUUCUCCAGGUUGACCUCGGAUCAGGUAGGGAUACCCGCUGAACUUAAGCAUAUCAAUAAGCGGAGGA
rnacentral:misc_RNA from 1 species